UCUCCCUCUCGCUCAGGUAAACAUCCCCUCUUCCGUUUUCCACCAUUCUGUCUUUAUAUACCGCCCCUCUCAUCCGUUUACUGACCAAACAGUUGUACCUUGUACCAUAGAUUCGUCUUGUAUCCGUCUAAAAAAUAUAAUAAUGGCAGCUAGUGAAGCCGCCGAGAGCCGCUGAAUGUGUUAUGCAUCAAGUUCCUGCUGCGACUUGUCAUUGCGAAAAUCGCGCGGGUGAGCCGUCUAGUGUGUUUCCACGCUUACUAAUAUAAUUAUUCGAUAUAUUCGAUUAUUUGAAUCAAUCGAACGAUUAACCGACGUCUCUAGCUUCACUUACUGUAAAAACAAGAGGACCGAAUUGAACACAAAACAGUUUGCUUUGUUUACUCGUGCAAUACAGAGAAUGAAUCGGCUGUUGGAUAGUUUGGUGCCUUAAAUUUAUUAGCGUAAAUUGAAUUCCGCUGGAGAAGUGAAAUGGCGUUUGUUAGCAGCAAUCUUGCCGAACCAAUUGACAUCAAAAUGGAGCCAGAGCUGAUGAUUGAUAACUACGAGCUGUCGGAUAAUGAUAAUAUUUUUGAGACAGAACCAAUAACGAACUUUGGGCCAAUUAAACAGGAAGCCGAAAUGAGCGAAAACGGAGAGGUAUUCUUCAUCGUCGAAAUGGACGAAGAAAACGACAAUCCAACAGUACAUCAUAAAUGUAACGAAAACUUCGGGGACGAAGAAUUCAUGAAAGAUGUUAUACGGUUGCGUUCGGGGAUAAAUCCGUUUAAAUGUGAAAAAUGUGAAAAAACAUAUCGCACAAAAUCAGGACUCAAGUGUCACAUUCGUAAUCAUACUGGUGAACGCCCCUAUGCUUGCCCACAUUGUACGAAAGCGUUUAAGCAACAUACAACGCUCAAACAGCACAUUCAUACUCAUACGGGUUUGUAAAGAAUGGUUUGGUAUAAUGAACCAUUCAGCAGAGUCAUGCUUUUGCAGGUGAACGUCCCUAUUCUUGUUCAUAUUGUACGAAGGCGUUUAACCAACAUACAGCGCUUAGGCAGCACAUACGAACUCAUACGGGUGAACGUCCCUAUUCGUGUCCACAUUGUCCGAAAGCGUUUAAGCAUCCUUCAGCAAUCAAAAAGCACAUUCGAACUCACACAGGUGAACGUCCCUACUCAUGUCCACAUUGUCUCAGAACGUUCAAGCAAUCUACAACCCUAAGAAAACACCUGAAAACACAUGGUAAAGAUACAGGCGUUCCGGCGCAGGGAUCAUUGGUGAUCGCAACGGAAGAGAUUACUUAAUGCUGAAGAAUCCAUUUGUCGUUCAAAACGGUUGAAAAUUAAAUCAAGUCCAUACUGCCCAUGUUUGCAUAGGAGACGUAAUCAACACCAUUAGUGUUAGGAAAAUGCUUUUUUGUUGUUUUUUGGCUUAGAAGCAUAACCAUGCAAAUUUCCAAUUAAAUAAUCUGACCAGUUGAAGGAUAUUAUCGACAAAAAGAGAGCCUAGGAGAUUUUACGGAUUAAAACAUAUUUUUUUCUAUUUCGAAAUCGCUUGCGUCAAAAUCAAAAUUAUGAAUGAAAAUUUACUUUAACGUAUCGCAUAUUUAUUUUAUGUGAUGAUAAGAGGUUUUUUAUCGAUAUCGCAGAAACAUAUUGAACGAAAACUAUGUCUAAUGAUGAUUUUAUAUUAUAAUAGUAAUUAUUUGUGGAACAAACAGAAAUGCAUCGACAAAUGGUUGAGUGAGUGUCAGGACUACAUGUGUUAGGUAUCAAACAAAAAAAAUCAAACAAUAAAUUUUCAUUCAAACUUUUAUAUUUUUACACUGCACUUGGUCCUUCUGAUCUGAUAGAGAAUAAUUUAUCUCCCAAGCACUAAUAUCGCCACCAGACGUCGACACUGUACAUUUGUCAUCGCAAAUAUGAACAAAUCAGACUAUAUAACACACAUCAACAAACCACUGCAUUCUUGAAACUGAAAAUGUUUUUUAUAACAGAGUCAUUUUGGCACUAACUCAGUUUUAAAAACGGAUUCGCUAUAUUUUACAAAAUAUGACAACUGUAUUUACAAGUUAUGUUGAAAAAAUACCUGGUCAUACUGCCCCAAGCAGGUAUGCCUAUUCCGCCCCGUUCUUUCAAUAUCUUCAUAAAACAUUUGAAUUUGAAUACGGUUUUCGCGAAGAUACUUAAUAAGAGUUUUUCUAACACAAUUGUUGGAAAAUAAGAGUUAUUGGUUCUAUAACAAGCCCAAACGAAGGGUGGCCCAUUUCGCUUCGCAUGGUCAUAUUGCCCCUAUCUACCCUAGCUAUCUCUCCACGACUGGAUAGCCUAAUUCUCUGUUGAUAAUAAAAUUUGUUCCUGAGGCGGAAAUUUCGCUAAAUUGAUGUGUCUGGCAUCUUUGAAAAAAUAAGAAAAAGUCGAUAGAGACGGACACUUGAAGGGAAAGAAAUAGGAAAGUAUGAAUACUAACUGAAAAGCUAUAUUUGAAAUGCAAGUUGAUGUACUCAACAGGUUUUGGAGGUCUUCAAAUAGACCUUACAAAUGAUUGAAUAAAAUGGCUUGACUCAAAUCACCUAGAAGGGUCUUGUCAUUUUUCUCAUUUUUCCAUGUCUUAAAUAGCUUUCGGUAUCUGAAAUGACAGAUUCGGAUUACGUCUCAAAAAUCGCAAAGCUAGGCUUAUCCAGCCAUCUGAAAUGGUUCAUCGAACGAAUGCUCCGUUUGUUUCGGUCAGUUCGAAAGCCAAUUUUCUGACUUCCUUCAUGGACUUCCCAUAGAAUCUCCUCUCUAGGUCGAGAAGAUUUCGAUACUUACAACGAUUCUGUCACUUUCAUUUGAAUUUUCUUAAUCCUGCUGCUGACUGAAACCUGUCGGAAGUGGUCCUAGCUGCGGUGAAAAAUUGGAAUCUUUGAGGUGCCGCAUGACUGUUCUUGGAAUGUUGAAAUUCAACGCAGCUGUGUUCACGGAGCACCAUCCCUUAACAGCUUAUUGCAUCUGCUGGUUCAUCCAUGACUUCCGGUUGAUCUUGCAAACAUGUUGCGUUGAUGGAAAAAGUAGGGGAUAAUCACAUUGUUCUCAAAACAAUGUGUUCGUCUUUCCCUUCGGUGGAGUGCCCGUCUUUCCCGACUUAAUGCGUAUUUUUUAACAUCAAUAUUUCUAAAGAAAAACAAAAAAAAACUUACCAGUGAUUCGAUAAAAGGGAAGAAAAGUGAUGGUAAAACACUUACGUAACGAAAAAUACCUAAAAAAACUUGUUAAUAAUUGUUUUAUACCGACGAAAAUUUACAUUGAAUUGUUCUUUGCAGAUUUUUAUUUUUUUUAUUUAUAUCUUGCUGACCCGACAAACUUCGUCUAGCCCAAAACGGAUUUUUUGUUAUCAAUACCAUGAAACAUUCACGUUUUCUUACUGGAUCGAAUCGCAGAACUGUUCGUUGAUUUAUAUUCUAAUCGGCCCUUUAGAAUUUCCUAUUAGUAUAAAUAGUACUACUACCAAACUCGUCAUUAUAAUAUCAAAUUAUUUUCAGACACAAUUCUCGUUCAAGAUUUUUAAUCACUUGAAAAUAACAUGUUUCUCUGCUACAUGGAAUACAUAUUUGAUACAGAAAAUAGAAUUAAAUGGAAACAUCUCAAAUCGGACGAUUCCUCGAGUUUUGCGCUUACCAACACCUUUGGCGAUCCGUUUUUAUUUAUAUAGUUAUAACUUGUAGAAGUGCGUUUUUUCACCGGAAAAUCCAUUUCCACUUUCGAAUAAAGAUCACUUUCGUUAUCGCAAACACCCAACGGACUAACAACACUUGCCACGAUGUAAUUGUAGAACAUAUGCGAAUUCAAUUUUCCGAAUUUCCUCAUUUUCCUUCAGAGUUUUCCUAAAGUUUCCUUAGAGAGGAAUGUCAAACCACCAUUUUUUGAUCCCUCAAACCUCUACAUUCCAAAUUUGGUUCCAUUCGCUUGAUUAGUUCUGUUAGAGAGGAGGGAGGAGUGUCGAACCACCAAAGAAACAUUUAUUACCCCCUAAAUCCUCCACAUACCAAAUUUAACCCCAUUUGCUUGAUUAGCUCUCGAGUUAUGCCGGAAUUUGUGUCUCAUUCGUUUGGCAGACCCCUAGACUAUUGCUUCAGCAGAGGCCUACUUUGAAGGCGAUAAUAUGAAUUUAGAUAAUAAAAAAUUAUAGGAGGUUGUGUCCAAGAUACGACCGCAUUGUUGACGUAGAACUACGCUGUUAUUUUAUAUAAGUCGCUUGUUUAUACCUUCGGAUAUUAUUCUAUAAUGCUGUGAAAUUUUAGAAACAACUGCUUAGUAGAAUAAUCUCUGAAACGGUUUUUUUUAAUUGUAGAAUCAGUUGACGAUAAUUGAUUGAUGAUUCAUUCUUGCCCUCGCAAAACAAUACACUAGCUGAUCGUAUGUCGCAAUUUAUUUCAUGUCAAUGCAUUGAAAAUUUACCUCGAACGCUAUUCCGGUGGCCUUUUUCGAAAUUUAUAUAGACUCGGCUACAGUCGAUUAUAUACAUGUUGCACCAGCACCAUUAUUUCACAUCUCAUAACUACAUCAAUAUAUCUUUGACACCGCAUGGAAACAACAACAACUUUUCAUCAAUGACAACACUCGUCAGUAUCAAAUAUCACGCUACAUGUUAUUUAGUAUUGCCUCAAAGGAAUCGCACCUUUAGGCAUCGUUCGUACAACGUAAACCAAGCGCCAAACAAGCGUUCACCAUAGCAUGCAUACAGAGCCAUACAUUGGUGGCUUGAAACUACUAGGAAUAUAAACACUUCUCAUCAUUUUGCGCUAUUCUCAAAAGAAACGCUUCUGUUAAUAUUACUGGUCCCGAGAAAAGUUGCAUUACUUUCUCAUGCUCGAGAGAAGCGCAGCUGUCACCCUUAGGGGAGGAAGUUUUGUUACUGGCAAGCGAAACCUAAUCACAUACACAAUUCCUGAACGACAUUUACUUUCUUGGUUACUAAACAAGUGAAAUAAACUCUUUUUGUUGAUAACAACCUCGAAAAUAGUAGCAAUGCUUCAUUAUGAUCAAUAUUAGCGCAAAUGCAAUCCUAGUUGAAGGCAGUUUUGCGACAGGCACGCGAACUCACAUAACUUAUAACAUUCCAGUGAGACAUUCAAGAUUGUUUUCAUUUGCUUGAUUAGUUCUGUUAGAGAGGAGGGAGGAGUGUCGAACCACCAAAUAAAUAUUUAUUACCCCCUAAAUCCUCCACAUACCAAAUUUGGCCCCAUUGGCUUGGUAUUCCUCAAAUAAUUUUUUGACAUAGGAUUACGUCUUUCGGGAACAUAUUGUGGUACAAAUUGAAAAUCGAAAAUCGAGCACAUCGUGAAAAUUGUCCAAUUUCAAACGCUCAUUGCUCAGCCAUUUCAUGAUGGAUUGAUGAGAUUUUUGCGUCAAUCAAUUUCGGCACUCCAUAACAUUGAAUAAAAUAAUAUAUGUCAUGAAACUAACUAUCGAACAAUUGAAAAAUCUCAACCCCUAUCCAAAAGGAAAUACCCACUUCUGGUUGGUCGAAAUUGACGACACAUGCGGCGGGUCCCUAACAGAGACAUCAAAACCAAGCUGCCUGGGGGAAAUCGGCAUUGCAGAUACAUGAAAGAAGGGGGAAUUUUAUCCCCACCGACAUGUAUUCCCUAACAGAGAUUUCAAAUCCAAGGUGUCUGGGGGAAAUCAUGUAAAUACCCUCGUGAUCGAUAGUUUAACUAAAGACGCGCAAAAAAGGAUAGUGCUCAUUGUAACUAGUGUGGACAUCGCUGAUUGCAUACGUGCUGACGAAUAAAUUGGGAGCGAUGAACGAGUGUGUUUUUGUUAUUUUCGUUCCAAUAAAAAUCUUUCGAUGGGUUGAUUGAAGAAUGAUGUUUCAAUGAAUUGAAUAGAACUUAUGCUUGAUAAAAUAUAAAUAAAAUUUAAAUUUGGAACUUUUAUGUUAAAUUUGGAACUUUUAUUUUAUAUCAAUGAUCGAUCAUGUAUUGUGAAACUUUUAGCACAACUGUAAGUGUAAAAUUGUAUAUGGUAGCUAUUGUGUUAACAUGACUUGAAAUACGAAAGAUUUUUUCCCCCAAGGAAAGUUCAUGCGACGAACGAAAUUGGAAAAAUGAAGGAGUAUUCAAAAAAGUGAUUUCAAAUAUGCACAUAUGCUCAUACUUGAAAUUCGCAUUGAGGUAUGUACUCGUGUUCCGUUUGGUUUAAAGCAAAAAGGAAAUGGGUUGAAUAAACAUUCCGAAAAUAAAAAAUUAUAAAUUAAAUUACCUUUUCCACUUCAAAUAUAUUUUCUCUAUACUAAAGUAACACUUUUUUUCUGGUGAGAAAACUUGUGUUCGAUGAUGAUAAUUAUCUUAUAUUACAUUGAUGACCUUUUUUUCCUUAGUUCACCCAUACAUAACACAGGAGCCAUCUCGUCCAGGACCAGAGAGGACGGCUUUGGUACGUGAUACGCACCAUCUAAUGACUAUUCACCAUCCUUCUAUCAUUGUCACUCGGUUAUGGACACUGGUGGAGUGAACCAACAAUACCUAACAACUAGAAAAAACAGAGCCAAAUCAUUAUCGUAGAGUUUAACAAUGUUAUUCUUCAAACAUAUCCAAAAUCAGCAUGCAGUAGAUAGCCUAACGGAAUCCUACGUCAACGAUGCGGUCGUGUCUUGGACACAACCCUCCUGUGACUUUUUGACGCACAACCAUAACCCCUGCUUUGCCAUAGCGUCCGUUUGAUGACGGAAAACAAACCAUGUUAACUGCUUGGAAAAAGACUGAAUUAUGCCACACAGCUUGUACUCUGCUGUAACACCCAUCGAUGCAAAUUCGCUGAUGAGUUUGUCAAGUGCGACCGCCUUCACCAUCAGCGGGGGGAGCUUGAUUUUGGUUGCUGCCUGGGUAACGGCGUUUACAUUUUCGACCGACGCGCCGAAAUCGCCUACUACGUUGUUGUUCGAUGCGGUGGCUCGGUUCAGUGCGAGCGCUUUUCACUGCACCGGUCGUCGAUAAGUUGGUCGUUAUUGACAGUUCUGUUCGGGAAAGCACACAAAUGGACAGAACAAAUGUAUGGGCAAAUAGAAACGCUUAAAGUUUUCAUGAAUUUUAACCAUUUACAAACCAGGGGAUUCUAAUGUAUAAAAUAUUAAACAAAUCUUACGGAAUCUCCGAUCCGUUUAGUAUGUAAAUCGCCAAAAUCCGUUCACGCCAAAAAUAGUUAUUAACGUUAACUUUAUUUCAUAAAAACGUGACAUAUUUUCUGAUUUGGCACCCUUAAUGAAAGACGUAGUUCUACGUCAAAAAACAUUUAGUGGAGGCGAUCUCGAUGACUGGAUUGUUCGUUGGAAAAAGGCCUACUUUAAAGGCAAUAAUAUAAAUUUAGAUAAUAAAAAAAAAAUUAGUGGAGGCGAUCUGGCGUAGUGGUAACAUCCGUACCUCUCACGCUUAAGGUCACGAGUUCAAUAUUCGCCCCAAACUCGAUAGCGUAAUCUCUAUCAGAUUUGAAGACACGCAGCCAGUUUUAAAAUUUGAAUGAAAAUUUUCACAUCAUGUUAUUUAAUUACUUGAAACACGUAUUCCUGACUCUUUUUUUACCAUAUGUCGAUACAUUUCCGACAUUUUUGCUUAACUUUUCAUUAUAAUAUGAAGUUGUCUUCAAAAACUUUAUUUUGAUACGGAGAAGUUUUUAUUUAUAAUUUUAAUUUUAAAAAAGUGUUCAUUCCGCCUGGAAAUCAAUUAUUGACGCUCCCCAAAACUCGUAAACGAAGCUCAAUGUCGUCCAUGCGAAUAGUAAAUCGUUUCUUUUCACCAACACUAUCGAAACAUUGAAAAUCUUCUACCUGAAUCAGCCGGUGCCUGUUCGACAGCGUAUGAAAUUUUGUUGAUCAGCACGUAAUGAUUUGUGUUAAGCAUAUAUCCUUUCGAAAGUAUUUCUCAGUUAGAUGCAAUACCAACGAGUGAAGCAAAAUUCCCACUGCUCGCGUGUAUAAUGACAAGUUAGCCUCGGAACCGGAACAGUUACAGCCUGUGUACUUCAAAAGUUGUCUCGAGCGCUCGCUGGUGAAAAUAUUCGGUGAAAUCGGUGGCCUCACAACGCUGGACGUUCUUAAAUUUGACGCAGUGAGAUCGCGUGC